rnacentral:rRNA from 1 species
GAACCUUCGGGGGACGAUAACGGCGUCGAGCGGCGGACGGGUGAGUAAUGCCUAGGAAAUUGCCCUGAUGUGGGGGAUAACCAUUGGAAACGAUGGCUAAUACCGCAUGAUGCCUACGGGCCAAAGAGGGGGACCUUCGGGCCUCUCGCGUCAGGAUAUGCCUAGGUGGGAUUAGCUAGUUGGUGAGGUAAGGGCUCACCAAGGCGACGAUCCCUAGCUGGUCUGAGAGGAUGAUCAGC